rnacentral:rRNA from 1 species
UACAGAGGUCUCAAGCGUUGUUCGGAUUCAUUGGGCGUACAGGGUGUGUAGGUGGCUCCGUAAGUCGGGUGUGAAAUUUCGGAGCUUAACUCCGAAAUUGCAUUCGAUACUGCGGUGCUUGAGGACUGGAGAGGAGACUGGAAUUCAUGGUGUAGCAGUGAAAUGCGUAGAGAUCAUGAGGAAGACCAGUGGCGAAGGCGGGUCUCUGGGACGGUACUGACGCUGAGACGCGAAAGCGUGGGGAGCGAACAGG